rnacentral:rRNA from 1 species
UGGGGAAUAUUGCACAAUGGGCGCAAGCCUGAUGCAGCCAUGCCGCGUGUGUGAAGAAGGCCUUCGGGUUGUAAAGCACUUUCAGCGAGGAGGAAGGUGGUGAGCUUAAUACGCUCAUCAAUUGACGUUACUCGCAGAAGAAGCACCGGCUAACUCCGUGCCAGCAGCCGCGGUAAUACGGAGGGUGCAAGCGUUAAUCGGAAUUACUGGGCGUAAAGCGCACGCAGGCGGUUUGUUAAGUCAGAUGUGAAAUCCCCGGGCUCAACCUGGGAACUGCAUUUGAAACUGGCAAGCUAGAGUCUCGUAGAGGGGGGUAGAAUUCCAGGUGUAGCGGUGAAAUGCGUAGAGAUCUGGAGGAAUACCGGUGGCGAAGGCGGCCCCCCUGGACGAAGACUGACGCUCAGGUGCGAAAGCGUGGGGCAGCAAACAGGAUUAGAUACCCCUGGUAGUCCAGCGCUGUAAACGAUGUCGAUUUGGAGGUUGUGCCCCUUGAGGCGUGGCUUCCGGAGCUAACGCGUUAAAUCGACCGCCUGGGGGAGUACGGCCGCAAGGUUAAAACUCAAAUGAAUUGAC